AGAUAUCAAAAGUGACGAAAUCCAGUUCUGAAUUUGCGCGAAGAACCACGCUGCAUUUUUGUCAGCUUUGGCUGGUAUUGAGGUUCAGAAGCUGCUGCUAGAGCAGCCAUGGCAACUGUAUAUGACAUGGAUGGUGUAACAAGUAGGGGCAGUGGUCAGUUGCAGGCCUAUUCGAUAAAAGUGCAAAGAAGGAAUUACUGAUCAUCUGUCAAUUUUGGUCUUACAUAUUAAUCCUGCUGUUGAAUCCAGUGGUGGUUCUGUAGCUUGUACACCAGAAGAAGCUCGUGCAGAGGCAGAGUCCCUGCUCAAACUGGAGGAGGACGAGUUUUUAAAGUCCAUAGCAAUCAUUAUCGAAGCUAAGAUGAAAGAGAUCCAAGAUAAGAUUGAUCGUUUUGAAGAAAAGGAUUUGCAGUUGGAAAGGGAAUGGCACCAGUUACGUCAAAUGCAGCAUCAGCUUCACCUAGAUAAGCUCACUCUUUUAUUUCACAAGACUUCUGCGCCUAAAUCGGUAGAAAAUUUUCAGAUGGAAAUGUCAGAACAAAAUUUCCUACAUCUAGUUAGUUCAACCAUAAUGUGUAGCUGUGAUGUUUUAACCAGGCUUCUCUAUUUCUUGCUGCUUGCCUGCUUCUAUAAACAUGAAAAUUCCAUGAAAAUUCUGAUGAUAUGUUUUCUGUUUAUUACAAAAAAUUCAUAUCGUUUUCCUUAUUUUUUAUUUAAAAUUUAUGAAAACAGGAUGACUAUCUUACGGAUGUCAAAGUUGUCUACAUUUCCAAAAGAGAGGAGAAAAAAAAAGUAAAGGAGAUAAUAACCGACAAGGUGAAAGACAAAGGUACGUACAUGAGUAUCGAGAUGAGUUUAAUGAAGAUCAUGGAUCUAAUGAUGAAGAUUAAGAUCUUUCCGACAAGUGGAAAGAGAUGAAUUUUGCAUUGGAGUCCUCUAAGGGUGCUCGGGUGAGAAGCUACAGACCUGAUUCUCGUUCUAACAGAGAUAAACAGAGAAUGAUGACACCGACAUCAAUCUGGAUGGGAUUAAGCUGCCUGAACAUGAUUUGACAGUGACCGGAAUCACUGCUCAUCCUA